rnacentral:rRNA from 1 species
UACGUAGGGGGCGAGCGUUGUCCGGAAUUAUUGGGCGUAAAGGGCUCGUAGGCGGUUUGUCGCGUCGGGUGUGAAAUCCACUGGCUUAACUGGUGGCUUGCUUUCGAUACGGGCAGACUGGAGGUAUGCAGGGGAGAACGGAAUUCCUGGUGUAGCGGUGAAAUGCGCAGAUAUCAGGAGGAACACCGAUGGCGAAGGCGGCAUCCUGGACCAACACUGACACUGAUGAGCGAAAGCCAGGGGAGCAAACGGG